AGUAGCUUGCUACUUGCUGACGACCGGCGCACGGGUGCGUAACGCGUAUACAAUCUACCCAUUACUAAGGGAUAGCCCAUGGAAACGUGGAUUAAUACCUUAUGGUAUUUAGAAGUCGCAUGACUUUUAAUUUAAAGGUUACGGUAAUGGAUGAGUAUGCGUCCUAUUAGCUAUUAUGUAGGGUAACGGCCUACAUAGGCGAUGAUAGGUAGGGGUUCUGAGAGGGAGAUCCCCCACACUGGUACUGAGACACGGACCAGACUCCUACGGGAGGCAGCAGUGAGGAAUAUUGGACAAUGGGAGCAAUCCUGAUCCAGCCAUGCCGCGUGCAGGAAGACGGUCCUAUGGAUUGUAAACUGCUUUUAUACAGGAAGAAAAAGGAGUACGUGUACUCUAUUGACGGUACUGUAUGAAUAAGGAUCGGCUAACUCCGUGCCAGCAGCCGCGGUAAUACGGAGGAUCCGAGCGUUAUCCGGAAUUAUUGGGUUUAAAGGGUCCGUAGGCGGGAUAAUAAGUCAGUGGUGAAAGUUUGUGGCUCAACCAUAAAAUUGCCAUUGAUACUGUUAUUCUUGAGUUAUUGUGAAGUGGUUAGCAUGUGUAGUGUAGCGGUGAAAUGCAUAGAUAUUACACGGAAUACCAAUUGCGAAGGCAGAUCACUAACAAUCAACUGACGCUGAUGG
rnacentral:rRNA from 1 species